GAUUAGUGCUGAAAGUGAUCCAGCAGCACGCUGGCAAUUCCAGCCAUUCCUGUUUCCUCCCAUGUCCUUGGAUGCGUUAAGGAGGACAUCUUGUGGCUGGCUUAAGCAACAAUUUCUUCAGAAGAGUCCUCUUUCCUCACUGGCCACAAGUCAUCCACACCCAAGGACUGCUGAGAGCCUUUCCAGAGAAGCCUGGAGAACACACAGACUACAGUCAGAGAACCACCAGUAUGUGAUUUUGGAAAGAAAAGAGCUUCUGGCUUCUGGACAGUGAUUCUGAUGGGAGAGAAAACGUGUGAUAUUUAUAUAUAGAAAAGUGCAUGUGUCAGAUGAAUAUAAUUCCCUUCUGUGCUCCCCCAGGAAAAGCAAUCAAAGAGUUACCCCCACCCCUCAAUUCACUGACCCAGACAGAGCAAGUGUAUUGUGGAGGAUCAAUGGGAUUGGGAGAUUUUGGAGAAUUUGACUUUGAAUAACUUCUCAGACAGAAGAAAAAAGAAUAUAAUUCUUCAUACCCAGAGACGUUUAUUUUCUUAAGCACAGAAAUUUGUCAUACCCAUACCACCAGGUACUGCUGCACAGGAGAGCAGCAACAGGGGAAGCAAUAGGAGCCCUGUCUGCUGGUUUCAAUGACAAGAAACAUGAGUAUGGAUA